rnacentral:piRNA from 1 species
UGGGAGAGGACACUGAAUCAGCAUAGC